UACAAGAUAUUAAACUCCAGGCCAGUUACAAGCACUGUUAACAUCAGAAACAACCCCAACUGUCAGAAUGAACAUGGUUCAGUCCUGGAUGUGAUUAACAGAAGCAAUGACAGCAGAAUCCAAUCCCUACAGUCACUUAUGAACUCGCUGGUGUUUCAGCAGGUGGGAUGACUGAGUGAAUCCCUUCCCACACUCGGAGCAGGUGAAUGGCCUGGCCCCAGUGUGAACUCGCUGGUGCACUUUGUGGUCGGUUGAAGACCUGAAUCUCUUUCCACAGAAAGUACAGCUGAACGGCCUCUCCUCGGUGUGAAUUCGCUGGUGCUUCAGCAGAUUUACAGCAUCAAUUAUCUCUUUUCUUUGGAUGAGAAUGUAGAACACAUUUCCAAAAGGAUUUGAGAUGCAAGUCUGAGCUGCUCACUUCUGGGUAAAGUCACACAGUGAAAACAUCAUUCACCAGCUGAAUGUGGAAAUGAUUCACUCGAUCAUCUGAUUAGUUAACACAGCAGCAGUCACAUCUGAUGGAGAAAAUUCAGGAUGUAAAAUGGGAAGAAUUUGCAAACGGGAACCUCAAACCAAACAUCACAUCAAGAUCUGACAGUCA